rnacentral:rRNA from 1 species
AUGAACGCUGGCGGCGUGCCUAAUACCUGCAAGUCGAGCGAACAGACGAGGAGCUUGCUCCUCUGACGUUAGCGGCGGACGGGUGAGUAACACGUGGAUAACCUACCUAUAAGACUGGGAUAACUUCGGGAAACCGGAGCUAAUACCGGAUAAUAUAUUUAACCGCAUGGUUCAAUAGUGAAAGACGGUUUUGCUGUCACUUAUAGAUGGAUCCGCGCUGCAUUAGCUAGUUGGUAAGGUAACGGCUUACCAAGGCAACGAUGCGUAGCCGAGCUGAGAGGGUGAUCGGCCACACUGGAACUGAGACACGGUCCAGACUCCUACGGGAGGCAGCAGUAGGGAAUCUUCCGCAAUGGGCGAAAGCCUGACGGAGCAACGCCGCGUGAGUGAUGAAGGUCUUCGGAUCGUAAAACUCUGUUAUUAGGGAAGAACAAAUGUGUAAGUAACUAUGCACGUCUUGACGGUACCUAAUCAGAAAGCCACGGCUAACUACGUG